GGCGACCUGCCCCCUGGUGCCGGUGACCUCCGCAUGGCUGUGGCCGUCCCCCAUGAGUCUUCUGCAAGGAGCCCCGCAGAAGGCCCGGACUGAAAAUCAAUACCCUAAAGCUGAAAUCGAUAGCGGCAGCUCCUGGUGGAGAGAGGGGCUUCUGGCAGAGGCCUCACACCCCCACCCCGGGACAGAGGAAGAACCCAGAUGUUGGGCACGUUCCAGACCUCAGCUCCUUCCCACCCGCCGGCCCCUCCCUCGGUACGGGACACGGAGCCAGCGCCAGCCCCACCACCCGGGAGCCCACAGCCCUCACUCAGGUGCAGCAGGGACAGAGGCUGGGAGCAGCCGAGACAGUGGGUGCCGGGCGCCCCCCGAGCCAGCUCUGACCAGCCAUGAUGACACCAGGGGAUGCCCAGCAGCUUCCAGAGCGGGGCAGGGGUGGGCAGGCCAUGCUGUCCCGACGGUGCCUGAGGUUCAGGCCAUGCCACUUCCUGUCCUCGAGCUGGGGAGGACCAGCCCUGCAGGAGUCCAGUCUGCUUCCUCUGCUGCCUCUUGCAGAGCCUGGAAGCCCAGAGCCAGGCAUGGGGGGCACACGUGGGGACUGCCCAUUCCACCAGCCUCCGCCGACGCCCUGGCGGCUCCUGGUCACACUCCAUGGACACCCUGCCCUUGACCCUGACUCCCAGAGAGGCCUCUGCCUGGGACCAAGAGGCCAGCGAGUGACCCUGGGCAAGGGUCAGGGCUCACACGCCCUGAGACGUCUUCAGUAUCCUUGGACACCAGGGCGUGUGGCUGGCUGGGGCCUAGGCAGACAGGGACACUUCAGGGACCCACAGCGAGCUGGGCCAAGUUCCCGGCAGCCCUGCAGGGCCAGCGGGCCGCGGGGUGCCUUCCUGUGGGGCUGGGCAGACACGGACCGUCCAGCCUCUGUCCUCUCCUGUGGCCUCAGUCAUGGCCUUGCCGCUCCCGCCUGCCCAGAGUCCCCAGAGGAGAGGGAGGCUGGG
rnacentral:lncRNA from 1 species